GCCGUGAGGUGUUGCCUUAAGUGGCGCAACGAGCGCAACCCCUAUCCCAUGUUGCCAGCGAGUUAUGUCGGGGACUCAUGGGGGACUGCCGGUGCCAAACCGGAGGAAGGUGGGGAUGAGGUCAAGUCAUCAUGGCCCUUAUGUCCUGGGCUGCACACAUGCUACAAUGCUUGCUACAAAGGGAAGCAAUUCCGCAAGGAGGAGCGAAUCCCAAAAAGGCAAGCUCAGUUCGGAUCGGGGUCUGCAACUCGACCCCGUGAAGUCGGAGUCGCUAGUAAUCGCAGAUCAGCAACGCUGCGGUGAAUACGUUCCCGGGCCUUGUACACACCGCCCGUCACACCACGAAAGUCGGUAACACCCGAAGCCGGUGGCCCAACCCUUGUGGAGGGAGCCGUCGAAGGUGGGAUCGGCGAUUGGGGUGAAGUCGUAACAAGGUAGCCGUACCGGAAGGUGCGGCUGGAUCACCUCCUUUCUAAGGAGCCUUGGCAACGCCGGCUCAUGGUCAACAUCCGGGGAUCGGUUCCCGGGUGCCCAUGGCGCCGGAGCUCCAGUCAAACCACUGGCUAGUUCGGCGGGCGAGCCCGUCGCGACCUCAAGUACUAAGUCCCUCUCGAGGGGCGGUGGAACGAGGCCGGGGCGUGGGGAUCCCGUCGUGGCACACUGUCCGGUCCUGAGGGUGCGAGCCCUCCUGAUGGACCCUGAGAACUCAAUAGCGAGCGCGAGCAUCUAUAGUCAAGUUACUAAGGGCUUACGGUGGAUGCCUUGGCGCCAGGAGCCGAUGAAGGACGCGUGAGGCUGCGAAAAGCUUCGGGGAGCCGCCAACAAGGCUUUGAUCCGAAGGUGU
rnacentral:sRNA from 1 species